rnacentral:rRNA from 1 species
GAGUUUGAUCCUGGCUCAGGAUGAACGCUAGCGGCAGGCUUAACACAUGCAAGUCGAGGGGUAACAUUGUGCUUGCACAGAUGACGACCGGCGAACGGGUGCGUAACGCGUAUAGAAUCUGCCUUGUACAGGAGGAUAGCCUUUAGAAAUGAAGAUUAACACUCCAUAAUGUAUAGAAGAGGCAUCUCUUUUAUAUUAAAUAUUUAUAGGUACAAGAUGACUAUGCGUCCUAUUAGCUAGAUGGUAAGGUAACGGCUUACCAUGGCAACGAUAGGUAGGGGGUCUGAGAGGAUUAUCCCCCACACUGGUACUGAGACACGGACCAGACUCCUACGGGAGGCAGCAGUGAGGAAUAUUGGUCAAUGGAGGCAACUCUGAACCAGCCAUGCCGCGUGCAGGAUGACUGCCCUAUGGGUUGUAAACUGCUUUUAUACAGGAAGAAACCGUGCUACGUGUAGCACCUUGACGGUACUGUAAGAAUAAGGACCGGCUAAUUCCGUGCCAGCAGCCGCGGUAAUACGGAGGGUCCAAGCGUUAUCCGGAAUCAUUGGGUUUAAAGGGUCCGCAGGCGGUCAAUUAAGUCAGAGGUGAAAGCCCAUCGCUCAACGAUGGAACUGCCUUUGAUACUGGUUGACUUGAGUUAUACGGAAGUAGAUAGAAUAAGUAGUGUAGCGGUGAAAUGCAUAGAUAUUACUUAGAAUACCGAUUGCGAAGGCAGUCUACUACGUAUAUACUGACGCUCAUGGACGAAAGCGUGGGGAGCGAACAGGAUUAGAUACCCUGGUAGUCCACGCCGUAAACGAUGGAUACUAGUUGUUGGGUUUAUUCUCAGUGACUAAGCGAAAGUGAUAAGUAUCCCACCUGGGGAGUACGGUCGCAAGACUGAAACUCAAAGGAAUUGACGG